rnacentral:snoRNA from 1 species
GGCUCCAUGAUAUCAACAGUAAGAAAAUCUUUCCUCAUACAGGUGCUAAAAAUAAAGCCUCUUUUGCAACCCAGAACUCAUUGCUCAGUAUGAGUUUUGAUACAUAUAAGAAGGAACAUG